GCCUUCCUGUGCUGGCUGAGAGGUGGCUGUGUCUCCUGAGGGCUCUGAUGGAAACUAAGAAGACCCAGCAUCCAAGAAUAGAAAAUUUAAAAUUCUGACUUUUACUGCGGCUGGGGAAGAACCAUGCUUCCCUUGGUUCACUGCUUCAUUCAAUUUAUUGUGCUUUUGGAUUCACGGUUCAGAAUUAAAAUACACCCGAAUGUAAGCUGUAUUAGGAAGUCAAGAAGCACUUUUGAAAAAGUUCCUUUGCUCUUUGGACUUCCCCUUCUUCCUGCUGGGAAUGAAGAAAUCAUGUCUGGAGAUCCAACAACCAUCUUUUAACUCGGAGGAUAGAAAUCACUCAUUAAAGAUUGCAGAGCGGAAAUAUAAGAAGCGCCUUCGUUCCUCGUGACUUCCUAGAGCAUCCAUACCAGCUUGGGCUGCCUCCCUCAGAGAAAUUAAUCCUCGUCUGUUUUAGCACUAUAGUUGAAUCUUGUUGGCAGAAGCAUUAACCUCCUAACCAUAUAGUUGUUACAACAACCUUGGAGGUAUUAUUAUGACACAUCCCAUUUUUUGCAUGACAAGGGACUGAUAAAUCAUGGAGUUAGAAUUCAAACACAUUUUUGUCUAGCUCUAAAGCACAUAUUUUUAAUCAUCAAGCUCUCCAGCAAAUCAAGUUGGGACAAAUAAGGUUAGACAGGGACAGGGGUGGGAAAGGGGCAGUCCAAAACCAAAGCAAGGACCGGGUGACCAGAAACCAGUGGGAAGUACCCUUGGAGGGGUAUGUGUGUAUAAGUGUGUAUAGGUGUGUGCGUGUGCAGUAACAAGGCCCAAGAAACACAAUCAUGCUGCUGAGUUGCUGCUCCAUCUGCUUUUUAGCCCUGAUCAUUGCACUUGAAGUAUUUCUGAGCUUGAAACCUGAAACCACAAUGAGAAAUAUGCCUAGUAGUUAGUCCACUAAUUGAGUUAAUGUAGAUGCCAAUCCUGAUAAGUCAAAUCCUAAAGAAGAAAUUUUGAUUUGAAUUAACUAGUUUAAUUGUCUGCGAAAUCCAAAUUGGCCAAAUAAUUUCAAGUUAAUACUUUCAUUUAAUCUGUGUAGAUCCUCCCACCCUGAAUAAAAAUGUACUAUUUGUA